rfam:Ailuropoda melanoleuca scaffold2850_7, whole genome shotgun sequence.
UUGCCCAUCGGGGCUGUGGAUACCUGUUUAGAUUUUU